UCUCCAAGACACCCCCCUCCCCCGCUCCAGCUCUGGCCUGCCACCCUAAGGCUAGUCUCCUAGGCUUCUCAGUCAGCAGGUACCUGGUAGCGAGCUGUGCGACGCGUAGCAGGCAGUUCCACGCUCGCUUUCUCCAGCCCCCGCCCCCUGCUCCUGUGCCCAGCCAGCGCCGCUCCACCAGCCUCUUGGCGCACCUAGCCCUAAAGGUUGAAAAUUAAAGCGAUUGCAAAACCAGCAAGUUCCAAGUCCCUCCCCUAAGGGUCUUCUCGGCUACGUUGGGAAUAAACUGCUUGUAGGCUAAAGGGGUCAGCUUUUUGGGGUGCCGCCUCUUUCCAAACCCCCUACCGGGCCCGCACGCCAGCCCGGGGCACACCAGCAGCGAGGAAGCGAGGACCACCAGAAGACAUCUCGCUAGCAGCAGCAUCUCGUCCGCGGAACCUGAGGACUUGCGAGCUGUCCCCGCGCGGUCUGUGCGCGAGCGGUGAGCGCGUCAUAGGCAAACCUCUGCAGAUGGUUGCAUCGGAGCUGAGGGCCAGAAAAAGAAAAUUCUCAAGAAAUAAAAUAUGGAAUUCCUUGUUC